AGGGUCACUCUCUCCAUUGACCCAUUUUCUUCAAAAUCACGUUUGAAAAAUUGGGCUGUCUCCAUGUUGACACCCAUGGCUGCAAAUACGAUGGCGAAAUUGUCCUCUUCCUCAUCCUCCAAAAGAUGUCCAGAUUUUUCAAGCCUCUUAACAAGACCAGCCUGGCGACAAAUCUGAGCAGCUAUUUCAUUGUGAGGAAGACCAGCAGCAGAAAAAAGUGGAAUCUUCUGACCACGGGCAAUUGAAUUCAUGACAUCAAUGGUAGAGAUUCCUGUUUGUAUCAUUUCUUCAGGAUAGGUUCUUUCACUGGGGUU
rnacentral:misc_RNA from 1 species